GAGGAGGUUGGCUCAAUGGUAGAGCAACAGGCUGAAAUGCCCGGAGGGCACCGGUUCGAGUCCGGCACUUUCUCU
rnacentral:tRNA from 1 species